CACUCCGGUGCUCUAGUGGUUAGUGCGUCCGCCUCAGAUGCGGAAGGUCGUUGGUUUGAACCCAGGGCGAGUCA